rnacentral:lncRNA from 1 species
UCCCCAUGGAGUGAUUAGGGGGAGGAAUAGGGUCCUGGGGGGUGCCCGCAGGUGGAGGGAGCAGCAGGGGCAGGAAGGAGUCACGGCCACGGAGCAAGGGCUGGCGUGAGGUUUGCUGCUAAUUACACUUGGCCCAGGCAAACGCUAAUUAAGAGCUCAUUAGGGACCCGCGCUGGGAGCGCGUUCUCCUCGCCUGGCUCCGGGGAAAAGUGGCUGGGGACGGGGUGGGGGGACACGACCCCGACCUUCACCCACCCUACAGCAUCCCCAGAGGGGCGGUGGCACCCUCCCCACCCCCCUAUGGCCCCAAAACCCCAUCCCACCCCCUCCCCAUCCCAGUGCCCCCCAUUCCCAGUAGGGCAGACGAACUGGAACCAGUAGACUCUCCAAAAUGAUUAUCCACAAAGCAGCAUUUUUACCACCCCCACCCCGUGGCACCCCAAAAUCACGCGGAGACGGGCGCUUUGGUGACACGAGGGGUUUUGGGGUGGGGUCGUCCUCCCUCCCGGGCGCUUUGGUGACACGAGGGGUUUUGGGGUGGGGUCCCCCCCCACCCCGCUCACUUGGUUUUGCGCAGUUUGCUGUUCUCGGCCCGCAGCAGGUAGAGCUUCUUGGCGAAGCAGACGGUCAGCAUGAAGAGCAGCAGCAGCACCAGGGCGGCCGAGCCCACGGCCACGCACAGCACCUGGAAGUCGGUGACGAUGGCCUCGCAGCGCGUCCCCUUGUGCCACGUGUAGUCCUGCGUGUUGCACCUACGAGGGGGACGCGAUCAAGGUCCUCCCUCCCCCCAAAAAAAAAAAAAAAACCCCGUCCCCGGCACCAAAACCCCCCGUGCGCAGCCGAUAUCCGCGGAUUAGGGCAGCCGGCGGGGAUGGGAUUAGUGCGUGACCCCAUAAGGGGAUGGCACUGGGGGGGUUCCUGCCCCAAAAGCAGGGACAGCCCCGCUGGAGCCCUCCCCAUGUGUGUGUGUCCCCCCCCCGGUGCCAAUCCCGACAGGCGCCGCGGCCGGAGCCUCGUCCGCGCAGCCCUGACCCAAU